CCUACGGGAGGCUGCAGUGAGGAAUAUUGGUCAAUGGACGAGAGUCUGAACCAGCCAAGUAGCGUGAAGGAUGACUGCCCUAUGGGUUGUAAACUUCUUUUAUAUGGGAAUAAAAUGUUCCACGUGUGGGAUUUUGUAUGUACCAUAUGAAUAAGGAUCGGCGAACUCCGUGCCAGCAGCCGCGGUAAUACGGAGGAUCCGAGCGUUAUCCGGAUUUAAUGGGUUUAAAGGGAGCGUAGGUGGAUUGUUAAGUCAGUUGUGAAAGUUGGGGGCUCAACCGUAGAAUUGCAGUUGAAACUGGCAGUCUUGAGUGCAGGAGAGGUGAGCGGAAUUCGUGGUGUAGCGGUGAAAUGCGUAGAUAUCACGAAGAACUCCAGUUGCGAAGGCGGAUCACUGGACUGCAACUGACGCUGAGGCUCGAAAGUGUGGGUAGCAAACAGGAUUAGAUACCCGGGUAGUC
rnacentral:rRNA from 1 species